GUUGUCUGUCCCCGUGUCUCCAGGAGAAAUGAUGAGACUGUUGGUGAAGCAGCAAGUCCACGCGGCCGUUGAAGAGUCUUUUGGGCUGUUGGACACAUUGACAGCAGCUUAUGAGGACACCGUGUCUCAGUUGAGAGAACAAUGGCGACACGCAUCAGGUCAGGUUUUUGAGCUGAUACAAAUUUGUAUCAGAUGAAGAUGGCGAGCUACCCACGAGUUGGAUGAACAUGAUGACUGCCCACUAAGACAACGUUUCUUUUUCAUUUUAAAUAUGUGUACUUGAUUUAAGUUGUUCUUUAAGUUCAGUAAAAACCCUUAAAUCUCAA